CCGUGACGUCACGCGCCGUAUCCCGAGCGCUCCCCCUGAGCGCGUGGCCCUGGUCGCGAGCACAUGGAAGUGAGGUCGAGAUUUUUGUCUGCGAGACGCGCGAUUCAUCAUGAGAAAAAAGGAAUAUUAAAGCGACAAAGCAGCGACAUGAACUGAGGUUGAAGCGGGUGGGUGGUGUUGCAGACCCUCCUGCAGUCCCAAGCAUUCACUGCAGCUGUCAUGCUUAUAGAUGACUGAAGAUACUGAUCUGAAAGGGAAGGAUGCAAAGCCAAUCCUGGGUGUUCUGCACCGCUGCCUCCUGUUUACAGCUGCAGAGAGUGAAAGCGUUUUAACUGUACAUGAGCUCCUUGCCCUUCUCACAAAGUUCAGUCUCCAGGUUAGUCCCCAGAGCAGGUGUUGGUGUUGGUCGUGGACUUCACACUACAUCCCUCUCACUUCUGUCAGCCCAGCAGAAACCUUUGGCUGUGGUCAGCUGAGCGCCGGGGUUGUACUGGAAGAAGAGCGAGGAGGUUAAACUAACACAAACCUCAUUAAAAUAAAAACAUCUGUCAACUCCCACUGCCUGUUUUUCUAAAGUACAGGAACGCGCUAUUGUGCUUCUCAUCCCCCGCAACAUUACUACAUAACUUCUGGGUAAUAAAUGAACCGGGGGAUGCCACCCAGCAACCAGGAAACAAAUUCUAACUGCAAAUCCCAGAUAGGUAAAGGAUGCUUGAGUUUCCCACCACUGUGCCACCUCAAUAUACUGAGGUUUAACACACAGAAACACACACUUUUGUGGCAUGUGUACACACAACCAAUGCUCUGAUCAUUCAUCUCUGUAAAGUGAUGUUCAGUUUAGGGAUUUUUUCUGUGACCCAAGGUGUCUUGUUUUUAAUGUGUGCAUACACUAGAAAGAGAAACUGUUUAACACAUCAUACGUUGUAUUAUCUAUCACACACACUAGCUGAAAUGUAAAACUUCCAAAAGGGAUAUCCCCUUCAUAAAGUUUGCAAUACAUUUGUUUCGUAGCCUCAGACUGUGAGAAAUGUUCAUAUUUGUCCUGCAUCUCACGGAGUUUAAUUGGGCUUGACUUGUGAUAUAUAUUCCCUGACACCAGUCAAAGUUUAGCAUGAAACCUAAAAGAGUUCUCUCUAAACUUUACCUUGGAUUUUUGUCACCAACAAAUAGGAAUACUUUUCCAGGGGCUUAUAACAUCUGAGGAAACAGACUACUUUCUGUUGUGUAACAAAGUGAAGUUUAUGAUGAAUACCUGUGAAGUCUUCUCAUGGGCUUUCAAUGUGCUGGGAUUCUUUACAGCCCAGUAAACCUGUUUGAAUGUCAGUUUAACUGAGCUUGACCUGUCAUUCUGUUUUUAACUGGCUCAGGAAAGAGAGCAAGGAGAAGUGAGAAGAGUGUAACAACAGGUAUUGUAUUCACCAUUAGAAGGAAGAGUUUAGCUUUUAAAAAAAAAGCUUAUUCAGUGUUUAACCAUGAUUUACAUGAGUAGAUCCACUGUCGUGCCUGUACAGUAAAUUUGCAUUAGCAUAAAAGCCAGGAACUUCUGAAGGCAAAAAAACCCUUGCCCUUUUAGAUAGCAUGAUAGAAGCAAUAAAGGUGUGACUUGUAACACAAAAGUGUGUGUGUGUUUGUAGUCCCGCCAUGCCAGCUGCCCCACUGCCGGAUCAAUGGUGGAACCUUGCUGAGGCUGGUGUAAUUGGGUCUUUCAUCGUUUGGGCUUGUGACCCCUUGAAAUGAAAAAACUGCAGUGUAUUUUUUUGGUUGACGUACCAAAAAUGCAUGACCGUUUGUUUUUUUAACUUGUCACCAGUUUCAUACAGUAGUCUAUGUGUAAAGUCAAACCAAUAAUUCUUUCUCCCAGUUGUAAUUUAAUUGAGUCUUGAGAAAGUCAAACAGAUUGAAUUCAUAAGAAAAAAAACCUCAAAGGUCAGAAGAGUGCCUAAACAAACAAUGCCAUUUUGUGUAUGAUUGUUUUUGUUCUGCAUUCCUUUUCUGUUGAACAUCUUGUGACGGAUUGGG